rnacentral:rRNA from 1 species
GACGAACGCUGGCGGCGUGCCUAACACAUGCAAGUUGAGCGACGAACCAGGGCUUGCCCUGGGGCAAAGCAGUGAACGGGUGAGUAACACGUGGGUAACCUACCCCGAUAACCGGGACAACCCGAGGAAACUCGGGCUAAUACCGGAUGUGCUCACUGGACUUCGGUUCAGUGCGUAAAGGAAGCUUCGGCCUCCGUAUCGGGAGGGGCCCGCGGCCCAUUAGUUUGUUGGUGAGGUAACGGCUCACCAAGACCGCGAUGGGUAGCUGGUCUGAGAGGACGAUCAGCCACACUGGGACUGAGACACGGCCCAGACUCCUACGGGAGGCAGCAGUGGGGAAUCUUGCGCAAUGCGCGAAAGCGUGACGCAGCAACGCCGCGUGGGGGAAGAAGGCCUUCGGGUUGUAAACCCCUUUCAGGAGGGACGAAGGUUCGGCGGUGAAUAGCCGUCCGGACUGACGGUACCUCCACAAGAAGCCCCGGCUAACUACGUG